CAGACACACCCCUCGAAAGUGGAAAAAUUGUGGACUCUCAGCCUGUCAACAGGGCAAAACUGCUCACUCCCAGCCUGUUGAUCUCUCCUCCAGCUUGAAACAUCUCUUCAGCAGCAACUGGUGACCAGCACCUGAAUUAUACAUGUUUCAGAAUGCAGAUGAACAUUUAUAUACUUUUCCUUUGAAACUUAAAUUAUCCUGAUUAUCAAUUAAAAGAGACUUUAAAAAUUUCCACUAACCUUCGAGAAAUCAACCCUCUUAUUGCUUUCAUUUUCAUCUAAUGCUUCAUUCAUCACUUCUUCAAGUUUUUUCUUGUAUGCAGCUGUCACCUAUUA
rnacentral:lncRNA from 1 species